CCUACGGGUGGCAGCAGUGAGGAAUAUUGGUCAAUGGGCGGGAGCCUGAACCAGCCAAGUCGCGUGAGGGAAGACGGUCCUACGGAUUGUAAACCUCUUUUGCCGGGGAGCAACGGGGUCCUUGCGAGGGCCCGAUGAGAGUACCCGGAGAAAAAGCAUCGGCUAACUCCGUGCCAGCAGCCGCGGUAAUACGGAGGAUGCGAGCGUUAUCCGGAUUUAUUGGGUUUAAAGGGUGCGUAGGCUGUGAGGUAAGUCAGCGGUGAAAUGCCCCCGCUCAACGGGGUGAAGUGCCAUUGAUACUGCCUGGCUGGAAUGCGGAUGCCGUAGGAGGAAUGUGUGGUGUAGCGGUGAAAUGCAUAGAUAUCACACAGAACACCGGUUGCGAAGGCGUCUCACGAAUCCGCGAUUGACGCUGAUGCACGAAAGCGUGGGUAUCAAACAGGAUUAGAUACCCGUGUAGUC
rnacentral:rRNA from 1 species